rnacentral:rRNA from 1 species
ACUCCUACGGGAGGCAGCAGUAGGGAAUUUUCGGCAAUGGGGGAAACCCUGACCGAGCAAUGCCGCGUGAGUGAUGAAGGCCUUCGGGUUGUAAAGCUCUGUUGUAAGGGAAGAAUGCUGGUGAUAGGGAAUGAUCACCAGGUGACGGUACCUUACCAGAAAGCCACGGCUAACUACGUGCCAGCAGCCGCGGUAAUACA